rnacentral:rRNA from 1 species
GCUUGUCUCAAAGAUUAAGCCAUGCAUGUCUAUGUAUAAACAAGUAUACUGUGAAACUGCGAAUGGCUCAUUAAAUCAGUUAUAGUUUAUUUGAUAGUACCUUACUACUUGGAUAACCGUGGUAAUUCUAGAGCUAAUACAUGCUAUCAAGCCCGACUUCUUGAAGGGUUGUAUUUAUUAGACUUAAGCCAAUAUUCCUUGUGUCUAUUGCGAUGAUUCAUAAUAACUGAUCGAAUCUCAAAUUUGAGAUAAAUCAUUCAAGUUUCUGCCCUAUCAGCUUUCGAUGGUAGUGUAUUGGACUACCAUGGCAGUAACGGGUAACGAAGAAUUAGGGUUCGAUUUCGGAGAGGGAGCAUGAGAAACGGCUACCACAUCUAAGGAAGGCAGCAGG